AGCAGCCGCGGUAAUUCCAGCUCCAAUAGCGUAUAUUAAAGUUGUUGCAGUUAAAAAGCUCCUAGUUGAAUUUCGGGACCAAUAUGUCGGUCGUGCUUCGGUACGUACUUGCAUUAUUGGUUUCUCCCUUCUGAAGAACCAUGAUGUCAUUAAUUUGGUGUCUUGGGGAAUCAGGACUGUUACUUUGAAAAAAUUAGAGUGUUUAAAGCAGGCUCACGCUUGAAUACAUUAGCAUGGAAUAAUGAAAUAGGACGUUUGAUUCUAUUUUGUUGGUUUCUAGGAUCGACGUAAUGAUUAAUAGGGAUAGUUGGGGGCAUUAGUAUUCAAUUGUCAGAGGUGAAAUUCUUGGAUUUAUUGAAGACUAACUACUGCGAAAGCAUUUGCCAAGGAUGUUUUCAUUAAUCAAGAACGAAAGUUAGGGGAUCGAAGACGAUCAGAUACCGUCGUAGUCUUAACCAUAAACUAUGCCGACUAGGGAUCGGAUGAUGUAUUUUGAUGACUCAUUC
rnacentral:rRNA from 1 species